rnacentral:tRNA from 1 species
GCUCCGGUAGCUCAGUUGGAUAGAGCAACAGCCUUCUAAGCUGUGGGUCCCUGGUUCGAGUCCAGGCCGGAGUGCCA